AUUGAACGCUGGCGGCAGGCCUAACACAUGCAAGUCGAACGCGUGGCGGACGGGUGAGUAAUGUCUUGGAAACUGCCUGAUGGCGGGGGAUAACUACUGGAAACGGUAGCUAAUACCGCAUACCAUCGGAUGUGCCCAGAGGGGAUUAGCGAGGAGGUGGGGUAACGGCGCCCCUAGGCGACGAUCCCUAGCUGGUGUGAGAGGAUGACAAGCCACACUGGAACUGAGACACGGGCCAGACUCCUACGGGAGGCAGAAGUGGGGAAUAUUGCACAAUGGGCGCAAGCAUGAUGCAGCCAUGCCGCUGGUAUGAAGAAGGCCGUCGGGUUGUAAAGUACUUUCAGCGGGGAGGCGUUACCCGCAGAAGAAGCACCGGCUAACUCCGUGCCAGCAGCCGCGGUAAUAC
rnacentral:rRNA from 1 species